rnacentral:snoRNA from 1 species
UUGCUCUGGGGAUGCAAAAGAGGGAAAUCCCGGCACUUCCUGUCUGUCUUUGUGGCAGCCUGGAUUGAAUAGGGGAAUGCAUCU